rnacentral:lncRNA from 1 species
GGAACCGUGAAGGUCUCAGGGCGUCGAGGGCCGGGGGGGGGGGGGGGGGGGGGGAAGGGCAGCCAGCGCCACGCCCACGGAGCCCCGCCUCCGCACGGGGGGGGGGGGGGGGGGGGGGGUGCUUCCGGCCGCGGGAGCAGCACUUCCCCUGGAGGCGCCCGGGCCGCCGCGGAGGUCGGGACCGCGAGCCCCCCGCGUGGCGCCCCGCCCUGGCCGCCGACCGCUGCUCGCGCGCCCUCCACGCCCAACGGCAGCCUCCCGGGCCCCGCGGGUCCCCGCCCCCGGGUCCGCGUCCUGACUCGGCCACGCGCCGCCCCGGGCCCGCCCUCAGCGCCCCCGCGCCCCACGGCAGCCUCCGGGUUAGCCCCUUGCUGCGCGCCCGGGAAGCCGCCGCGGCCCGCGUGGGUGCGGGGCCCUCUGCUGCUGCGCCCCGCAGGCCCUCCCCUCCCUACAGCCCGUUGUAAGGAGCUCCCCUUUCUCUGUUUUAUUUGGAAGCUGAACAGGGUCAUUGACUCUUCCGGGGAGCCCAGAGAGCACAGCUGCAAGUCCCACUCUCCGGACUGGCCCGAAGGUGACCACUGAAAGAGAAGAAGAGUGAGAUUCCCACACAAGUGGAGGAAAACAAAUGAAACGGGGGAGGGCUUCAAGAGAAAUAUGAAGAAAGAAAAACCAGAAAGUAUAAAAUAAACUGAUUUUACAAAUACUGCUACCAAUACUGCAAAUAAAUUGAGAUGAAAGUUAAUGGACAAAGAUUGUUGGAUUGUGUUCAUUUAUUCAAAUGAUCUUUAAAAUUUACUUAAGAGAGAGCAACAGCACACAGUAGGGGGGGACGUUGUGCAGAGGGAGAGGGACAAGCAGACUCCUCACUGAGCAGGGAGCCUGCCUGGUGGCUAGAUCCCAGGACCCCAGAAUCAUGACCUGAGCCAAAGGCAAAUGGUUAACUGACUGAGCCACCCAGGCACCCCUGUUGGACUGGAUUUAAAACAAUAAGAACCACUUAUACUGCCUCUAGAGACACACUGAAAAUAUAAAAUUGACACCCAUACAGAGGGGUGUGCAAGACAAACCAAAAGAAAGCUGAAGCAGCCACAUUAAUAACAGGCUGUGGGCAGAGGUAUAAAGAAGAACACUAAAAAAAAAAAAAAGAAGAAAGAAAGAAAGAAAGAAAGAAAGAAAGAAAAAGAAAGAAAGAAGAGAAAGAAAGAAGAAAGAAAGAAAAGAAAGAAAGAAAGAAAGAAAGAAAGAAAGAAAGAAAGAAAGAAAGAAAGAAAGAAAGAAAAAAGAAAAAAAAGAAAGAAAAGAAAAGAAAAACACUGCUCAAUUUAGAGGGGAGAGCUAGACUUUCCUCUACUAUAGGAAGAAACUACAGGAAGAGUUCUAAACUCAUAUGCAAUUAAUAAUUGCUUUAAAAUAAAGUAGAAAUGACAAAACUAAAAUGAGAGAAACUGACAAAUGCUUAGUCUGAGUGAUGUCUCUCAGGGAGCUAUUUCAUGGGAAUCAGUGAGCUAGAGGGUCUUGAGGACAGAGGGUGCCGGGGCAGAAGAAAGACUAGAGUAUCAGAGUAUCAGUUGCUAGGAGGAGUACCUGGGAAGAGAAAGUGUGAGACAUGUUACUGCUUAUUACCCUGAUAAGUACCAGUAAACUUUAUCUUGAUUUAACACUUCAUUUUUUUAAAGAUUUAUUUAUUCAUAAGAGACACAGAGAGGCAGAGACACAGACAGAGGGAGAAGCAGGCUCCAUGCAGGGAGCCCGAUGUGGGAUUUGAUCCGGAGACCCCAGGAUCACACCCUGGGCCAAAGGCAGGUGUUCAGCCGCUGAGCCACCCAGGGAUCCUGAUUUAACACUUCAAAGUAUUAUUAUUUUUUUAACACUUCAAAUUAGAAUAAGGGUUUGAACAAGGUCUACAUGUUGCAUUUAGUGGAAAUGUAUCUUAAGUCUGUUAAUCCAUAACAAAACUAAAGGAACUCUGUUCCUUCUUUUUAAAAAAUCCCUUCCCAUUUAUUUUUUGGGGGAAUAAGUCAUUUACCCCAUAGAAGAUUUGAAUAACUACAUCCCUACUAUAUCUUUUAAUAUGUUCCUCUUUCCCCUGUAUUUUGUAUAUGCUGGUAGUUACAUUCAGAAGCUUGAUUAGAUCAGUUUGUUUCUCAUCAGGAAAGCUCUGUAGGUUGCAUUGUGCAAGAUUCUAUGGCUUCAUACCAGGAGGCACUUAAUACCCUCCUGGCAGAGUUAGGGUCACUCAUGGGUUCAGAGGGUCAGCUGAAUCUUCCAUUAUUUUCAUCAGUCUUCCACCUAUAGGCUUUUACUGCCAUUAUGACAUUGCCAACUCUUUCUUCUGCAUUUACUAGAUGGAAUUCUACACAUAACUUUCCUUCACCAAUUUGUCCUGAAAUGCAGUUCAUAGGGGAGAGUCAGGAUGUGAUUCUUCAACCAGCAAUUUUUUCAACAGUGGAUGACUGUAGUAGCAACUUUCAAAUGGCUAAUGGAAUGGAUUUUUAUAAUAUUUUAAACUUAUGCAUUUUAUAUAUUUGAUAUGUUUCUGUUCAGUACAGACAUUAUUCUUUUUGAUGAUGAAAUUGUUGGCUUUUUGGCCAUUCGGGGCCCUUCACUUUUGUCACCUUGUCCCUCUGGCAAAGGUCUCUUUCUGGAAGCAAACUUGCUUUCUGGCACAAGAUGUCCUAAACACAUUUUGUGUUAUUUCCUUCCCCAAAUCUCAAAGGAGCCCUAGUUCCUUUUAAAGGGAAAUGCUGAACUCCUCCAAGAGUGUUUGUGUUUACUGCUGGGAGGGACCUAGGAACACUGCCCACCCAGGACCAGAACGUUUAAACCAAAGUUUCACGGUGGGGGGUGCGGCCAAAGCAUACAGAACCCCAAAUACCGCUGCAUGAGGCAGGCCAGGGCUUCUGCCCACUUCCCCGGGGUGGCUCACCCUCAGUGUGCACUGCCCUUGAUGACUAAAAGCUCCAUUUUAAACCCAUGAUCUGUCUCCACCACGCCCGGGUCCAGUCCCAGUUCCCCCUGCCCUGACCAUCCCCUUCCACGGGAGCUGUGAAAAUAAUAGGAAACCUGGUUCAGAAGACACCGGGGAGGGAUCCCUGGGUGGCGCAGCGGUUUGGCGCCUGCCUUUGGCCCAGGGCGUGAUCCUGGAGUCCCGGGAUCGAGUCCCACGUCGGGCUCCCUGCAUGGCGCCUGCUUUUCCCUCUGCCUGUGUCUCUGCCUCUCUCUCUCUCUCUGUGACUAUCAUAAAUAAAUAAAAAUUAAAAAAAAAAUAAAAAAAAAGAAGACACCUGGAGGAGCGGGGGGGUGGGGGGGGUAGGCGGGGGAAGCUGGGAAGCCAGUAGGGGGACCUCUUGCAGCCCCUGCAUCCCUGUCCCCUCAGAGCCAGCUGGGGCCUCGCCAGUAGUCACUGCAGCCCUCCAGGUCCCCUGGGGAAGGACGGUUUCCUCCCUCCCGGCCUACAGCCCAGCCAAUGAGAAGCCGCUAAGCAUCCAGCUCCGCUCAGGCCAAGGGACGCUCUCUUUACAGCCGACCCUCCCAGCUCCCCCUGCCCCGAGCCUGGAGCCUGAGCGUGUAGAGCUCCUUUGUUCCAGGGCUCACCUGCCUCCUGCCCUAGCUGACUUGCCUGGGGGCUGCAAUUCCCUGCUGUUCCUGAACAAACCCAUUUCUGCUGGUCAAAUAACUGGCCCUUUCAUUUUUAAGGUUAACAGCCAUCAGGACUGGCUGCUUGGACCCCUGGUCCGUAGGCCACCGUUGGGGAGCACCCUCCCUCCAGAAGGGCACCAGCCACUCUAGCCAUGGCCACCUCCUGUUUGGGCCUCUCUGACGCCGGCUGGCAAUGUGCAGCCAAAGACCCAGAAUUUUUAAAAACCUUCCCUCUGUGGUGGGGGUGAAGUCCCUGCCCUAGGGCCAGGAGUGAGGGCAUGAGAGCAGCAGGGCCUACCCCGCCCCCCCAGCUGCUGGUCCUCCCUAGGUAUGGCUGUGGGUGAAUACAAACCACAACCAUGGGACAUCAUCCGGGCCAGCCUAGGCACAUUGGGACUGAUAGCUGAAUGCAAUGUGCAGCCCUGCCAGAGGUGGAGCCACAAAGGACACUGUUGGGACAGCUGACAGCAGGUGCAUGUGACCUGUGGCCUGGCCAAUACUGUCUUCUCUGUACCACACUUCUGGAUUUGGAUCAUUGUACCAGGGUAGUAGGAGAACAUGCUCGAGCUCAGUAACACUAAAGGAUGUUAAGUCCUUUAAGCAAAGGGGCCCGGGGUCUUGAACCUAAUCUCAAGUGGUUCAGGAACAAAAUGCAGACACAGACACAGGCAGAAUGCAAACUGCCCGCGGUUCUUGAUAAACCAUGUGCGGAAGUUUCUGUACUCCGCAACUUUUCUCCAAGCUGGAAAUUAUAUUAAAUUAAAAAUUACCUCCAAAUCCCCAAUAAGUUAAGCAUAAAACCUCCCACGACCUUCGGACCCCCACCCCAUGGCCCUCCCGAC